rnacentral:rRNA from 1 species
GACGAACGCUGGCGGCGUGCUUAACACAUGCAAGUCGAACGGAAAGGCCCUGCUUUUGUGGGGUGCUCGAGUGGCGAACGGGUGAGUAACACGUGAGUAACCUGCCCUUGACUUUGGGAUAACUUAAGGAAACUGGGGCUAAUACCGGAUAGGAGCUCCCGCUGCAUGGUGGGGGUUGGAACGUUUCGGCGGUUGGGGAUGGACUCGCGGCUUAUCAGCUUGUUGGUGGGGUAGUGGCUUACCAAGGCUUUGACGGGUAGCCGGCCUGAGAGGGUGACCGGCCACAUUGGGCCUGAGAGACGGCCCAGACUCCUACGGGAGGCAGCAGUGGGGAAUAUUGCACAAUGGGCGGAAGCCUGAGGCAGCAACGCCGCGUGCGGGAUGACGGCCUUCGGGUUGUAAACCGCUUUCGCCUGUGACGAAGCGUGAGUGACGGUAAUGGGUAAAGAAGCACCGGCUAACUACGUG